UUAUACAUAUAAUAUAUCACUAACACAAGCUCAUUUUUUUACUGCAAGUUGCGUCAACAUAUUUACAUGGAGGAAGGUUGUCUUCGGUAAGUAAGUUAUCCAUUUAUUUCUUUUAGUAAAAAUCCUCGAAAAUGAUGUGAGUUAUUGGGGAUUUAUUAUUAAAUUGAAAUAUUUUCUGCCCUGGUCAAUUAUCCAAUUUUUCAAUUUUUUCCUUUUUUUAAUGAGUUCUCUGAUAUUUUUCAGGUCCUUUGGGACAGCGGCAUAUAUUCUUGGGGCUAGAUAGGCAAAGCAUCUCUGACCUAUUCGUUUUCCUGCUCUUGGGGUAAGGUAUUGGUUUGUUUUGUUACGUGUUUCAUAUUCACACUCAGUUAGUUGGAGUUGAAUUUUUUGUUCGCUUAUGCCAAUUAAAAUCUGCAGAACAAAUAAUUGGUGGGGAUUCAUGACCCUGGAAACAGCAAACAAUUCAUCUGAUGGAUACAGGAGAGGCUUUCCGUAGAUAAUUCGAAGUAACCAUUUCUGGACCACCUCAACCCUCCUUAGAUGACAACUAUAUUCUCCGCCCCAACCUAUUAUUCCAUAUCCUAUUUGGGACUGACAUAAAGCUGAGUAUACCAUCAUUAAGCUUUUUGUAUCCAAGUACUUUUUCAGAUAUCUAAACUUGAUGUCGAUCAAUUGUAAUUCCUAGAUAUUUUAUGUAUUCAGCUUCUGGAAUUGAUGUUUCGUUGUCAACUUUUAAAUUGCCCAUAUGUGGAAGUCCUGAUUGGUAAGCAGCAAAUGGCCUAGUUUUUCCGCAGAGAUCAUCUACAUACAACCAUAGAGAUCUCGCCCUUGAAGUGUUCUCUGUUACGAAGCUAUUCAUAUAUUCUUUUUUUGCGGUCUUUAUCAACUUCUGUAAAACAUUUCGAUACCUUGAAUACUGCAUCUUCAACCUCCCAUUAAGUGGGUCUUUAAUAGUUUUUUUAUAUAAGCUAUUUUUUAUAUUUAUGGCCUUCAAAAGACCUGGUGUAAUCCAGUCCUUCUUAACUGAUUUUUUACAGGAUAAUCUAAUGCUUGUUGUAUUUUUUUCUGUAUAAUAAGUUAAUGAAUCAAUAAAAGCUUCUGCAAAAGAGUUUACAUUUUUAUUUUCAAUCAUAUUACCCCAAUUUAUUCUUCCAAGGUCUUCCUUCAA